rfam:Oryza glumipatula chromosome 1, whole genome shotgun sequence.
AACAACUGCAGUUGUGAGUUUUAGUGUCCAACUUUGAUUGUCCAUCUUAUUUUAAAAUUUUUGAUUAUUACUAUUUUUAUUAUUAUUAGAUGAUAAAAUAUAAAUAGUACUUUAUGCGUGACUUAAUUUUUUAAAAAAUUUCAUAAAAUUUUCAAAUAAGAUAGACGGUCAAAUGUUAGACAAGAAAACUUAUGGCUGCACUGAAA